GAUUCGGCCAUUUGAGUUUUCUCGGAGCAAAAAAUGGAGUCGGAGGUCCGAAAGCCACCGGAGCUGGCACUGCUCUCUCAGAGGACUGAAGCCAAUCCCCCGUCGAGAUCAAGGCCGCCGCCGAAGCGAUUUGUGAAGAACCAAAUCCCCGAUUCCAUCCUCAACAAUUCGGCCUUGAACGCCGCCAUCUCCCUCCUUCCCUCCAACUACAACUUUGAGGUUCACAAGUGCGUAUGGCGCAUCCUCUCCUCCGGCGCCUCCCGCGUCGCCCUUCAGCUCCCCGAAGGUCUUCUCAUGUACUCACUCAUCCUCUCCGAUAUCCUCACCACUUUCGGCAAGGCCUCCCACUGCUUCGUUCUUGGCGAUGUCACUUAUGGUGCCUGUUGCGUCGAUGAUCUCUCCGCCUCCGCCCUCAACGCUGAUCUCCUUAUCCAUUACGGCCAUAGCUGCCUCGUCCCUAUCGAUUCCACCACGAUUCCGUGCCUGUACGUUUUCGUCGACAUUGCCAUUGAUGUGCCUCGUCUUGUUAAUACUGUUCGUCUCAAUAUCGAUGGUCUUGAUUCCACCAACUUAGUGCUUGCCGGAACGAUUCAAUUUGCCUCUGCCAUUAGAGCUGGGAAGCUGGAGCUCGAGAGGCAUGGCUUCCGGGUUUUAAUCCCCCAGUCCAGGCCAUUGUCUGCUGGCGAAGUUCUGGGCUGUACGGCUCCGAAAAUUUCCCCGUCUGCUUUCGGCAAUGACGGGGAGACUGUUGCGAUUUUUGUUGCCGAUGGGAGGUUUCAUUUGGAGGCUUUCAUGAUAGCGAACCCCGGAAUUAGGGUUUUCCGAUAUGAUCCAUAUGUUGGUAAGUUAUUGCUUGAGGAAUAUGAUCAUGUAGGAAUGAAGGCGUCGAGAAAAGGCGCGGUUCUGAAGGCGAGGGAAGCGAGAAAUUGGGGUAUUGUGCUGGGGACCUUGGGAAGGCAAGGGAAUCCCAAAAUUUUGGAGAGAUUGGAGGAGAAGAUGAAGUCUAAAGGAUUUGAUUAUACUGUUGUUUUGAUGUCUGAGAUCAGUCCUUAUAGAGUGGCUUUGUUUGAGGAUUCGGUGGAUGCUUGGAUUCAGAUAGCUUGUCCCCGUCUUUCAAUUGACUGGGGAGAUGCUUUUGCUAAGCCUCUUCUUACUCCAUUUGAGGCUGAGGUAGCUCUUGGACUAAUCCCUGGUUGGUGGGAGAGAACAAACGCUGCUAAAUUGAGUUGUAAUGAUUGUGAGAAAUGUGGAUGCAACAGUGAUCAGGUUGAAGGGGAAUAUCCUAUGGAUUAUUAUGCUCAGGAUGGUGGUGAAUGGAACUCUUCCUAUGUAAAGAAGAAAGUGUCUCGCCCUGUUGGGAGAAGAGAUUGAAGAGGAAUAUCCUAUGAACUAAACGCAUUCAAGAUUGCUUAAGGUUCUAUAAGUUAGAUAACUUUAUUGUCUACAGCUUUAUUUAAAAAUUGGUCUGAAACUGCAAUUGAAGCUUUCUGAAAUCUUACUGAUGCAUAUGGGUUUGCUAUGUUUUCUAUGGGAUGGUUGAGUUGUACAAAAUCAUCUUCUUUGGGUUUCUUUUGGAAUGUAGUUUAUCAGUUGGGUUAUUAGUUAUUUCAAGUUAAUUGAAUGGUUAGGUGAGUUUCCUUCACUGUAAAUUGCCUAUUUAUUGGUAUGUUCUGUGAUUCAAUUUUGAGUGCUGUA